UUGAACGCUGGCGGCAUGCUUUACACAUGCAAGUCGGACGGCAGCACAGAGAAGCUUGCUUCUYGGGUGGCGAGUGGCGAACGGGUGAGUAACAUAUCGGAACGUACCGAGUAGUGGGGGAUAACUGAUCGAAAGAUCAGCUAAUACCGCAUACGUCUUGAGAGRGAAAGCAGGGGACYUUCGGGCCUUGCGCUAUUCGAGCGGCCGAUAUCUGAUUAGCUAGUUGGUGGGGUAAAGGCCUACCAAGGCGACGAUCAGUAGCGGGUCUGAGAGGAUGAUCCGCCACACUGGGACUGAGACACGGCCCAGACUCCUACGGGAGGCAGCAGUGGGGAAUUUUGGACAAUGGGCGCAAGCCUGAUCCAGCCAUGCCGCGUGUCUGAAGAAGGCCUUCGGGUUGUAAAGGACUUUUGUCAGGGAAGAAAAGGCUGUUGCUAAUAUCAGCGGCUGAUGACGGUACCUGAAGAAUAAGCACCGGCUAACUACGUGCCAGCAGCCGCGGUAAUACGUAGGGUGCGAGCGUUAAUCGGAAUUACUGGGCGUAAAGCGGGCGCAGACGGUUACUUAAGCAGGAUGUGAAAUCCCCGGGCUCAACCCGGGAACUGCGUUCUGAACUGGGUGACUCGAGUGUGUCAGAGGGAGGUAGAAUUCCACGUGUAGCAGUGAAAUGCGUAGAGAUGUGGAGGAAUACCGAUGGCGAAGGCAGCCUCCUGGGACAACACUGACGUUCAUGCCCGAAAGCGUGGGUAGCAAACAGGAUUAGAUACCCUGGUAGUCCACGCCCUAAACGAUGUCAAUUAGCUGUUGGGCAACUUGAUUGCUUAGUAGCGUAGCUAACGCGUGAAAUUGACCGCCUGGGGAGUACGGUCGCAAGAUUAAAACUCAAAGGAAUUGACGGGGACCCGCACAAGCGGUGGAUGAUGUGGAUUAAUUCGAUGCAACGCGAAGAACCUUACCUGGUCUUGACAUGUACGGAAUCCUCCAGAGACGGAGGAGUGCCUUCGGGAGCCGUAACACAGGUGCUGCAUGGCUGUCGUCAGCUCGUGUCGUGAGAUGUUGGGUUAAGUCCCGCAACGAGCGCAACCCUUGUCAUUAGUUGCCAUCAUUCAGUUGGGCACUCUAAUGAGACUGCCGGUGACAAGCCGGAGGAAGGUGGGGAUGACGUCAAGUCCUCAUGGCCCUUAUGACCAGGGCUUCACACGUCAUACAAUGGUCGGUACAGAGGGUAGCCAAGCCGCGAGGCGGAGCCAAUCUCACAAAACCGAUCGUAGUCCGGAUUGCACUCUGCAACUCGAGUGCAUGAAGUCGGAAUCGCUAGUAAUCGCAGGUCAGCAUACUGCGGUGAAUACGUUCCCGGGUCUUGUACACACCGCCCGUCACACCAUGGGAGUGGGGGAUACCAGAAGUAGGUAGGGUAACCGCAAGGAGUCCGCUUACCACGGUAUGCUUCAUGACUGGGGUGAAGUCGUAA
rnacentral:rRNA from 1 species